GACGAACGCUGGCGGCGUGCUUAACACAUGCAAGUCGAACGAAGUGGCGAACGGGUGAGUAAUACGUGGGUAACCUGCCCUCCUUUUUGGGAUAAGCCUUGGAAACGGGGUCUAAUACCGAAUAAAGGGGGAUGGGCUCGCGGCCUAUCAGCUUGUUGGUGGGGUGAUGGCCUACCAAGGCGGUGACGGGUAGCCGGCCUGAGAGGGUGGCCGGGCACAUGGGGAGUGGGGUACGGCCCAGACUCCUACGGGAGGCAGCAGUGGGGGAUAUUGCACAAUGGGGGAAAGCCUGAUGCAGCGAAGGCGCGUGGGGGAUGAAGGGUUUCGGGUUGUAAACCUCUUUCGCUUCGAAACGGGUAGGUGGAGAAGAAGCGCCGGCUAACUACGUGCCAGCAGCCGCGGUAAUUC
rnacentral:rRNA from 1 species